CGUGUUUCGAGUUACUCCGGAACACAGUGUUUAUUCUGUGUUUAGUCACGCCGCGUCAAAAAUGUUCCACAGGGUUACUUCCGGUUUAUCGUUGUUUACCAACAGUCGACACUUCGUGUAUUAGGCCUAGGCUUAAUUUUGUCGAUCAUCAUGAAAUUGAAAUACAAAUUUAAUAGUUUGGGGUGUAUGCGGUACAUAUUUGUUUAUGAGCGUUUGAUAAGCUACUAUUGAUCUACGAAAUACAACGAAAGACUUCGUCAAGAACAGAAGAAGACGAUGCAUGUCGUGUAACUCACACAAGGCCCAGCUGUCUAGUAACCGGAGGGGUAAAGGAAAAGAACGUAUUAGACUCACUGAAACCUGUCAAACAGGUAUAUGGGAACAGGAUCAUUUUCCAUGCCUUUCACUUGAGGUCUUCAGUUUCAUCAUUAAUCAUCUGAAUGUCGGUAUGCCAAACUCUCAUGAUGUCAUGCCAUUACUGGAUAUUCCUUAACAGUGGUUUAUUUAAGCCACACUACCUAUAACAUUGCCAAAAUAUUUGACUGAAAAUUUUCAAAUACACAAGAUUUGAAGCAGCAAAAGAAAAGAAUUACAUAUGUAUAACACACAAAAAAGAAGAAAUUAAUUCUCACCUGGCUGAUAUGAACUUUUUACUCCUUUUUAGCUCCCUUUCACUGCAUACCAGCCAAUAACUAGCAGUCAUUAUAUGCAGAUCAGCCAUUGUUAUCAACCUGUGUAUAUAUAUGUUGAAUGAAAUAUGAAUGAAAA